UACAGAGGUCUCAAGCGUUGUUCGGAUUCAUUGGGCGUAAAGGGUGUGUAGGUGGCGCGCUAAGUCGGGUGUGAAAUUUCGGAGCUUAACUCCGAAACUGCAUUUGAUACUGGCGUGCUUGAGGACUGGAGAGGAGACUGGAAUUCAUGGUGUAGCAGUGAAAUGCGUAGAGAUCAUGAGGAAGACCAGUGGCGAAGGCGGG
rnacentral:rRNA from 1 species